rnacentral:rRNA from 1 species
UAAAAUACUUAAGGGCACACAGGGAAUGCCUAGGUAGUAAGAGCCGAUGAAGGACGUGGUAAGCUGCGAUAAGCUUGGGCUAGCUGCAAACGAGCGUUAACCCCAAGAUUUCCGAAUGGAGCAAUCUGCUAAGAUGGAGUCUUAGCACGAAAGAGGGUACCGAGUGAACUGAAACAUCUAAGUAACUCGAGGAAAAGAAAGUAAAAACGAUUCCCCAAGUAGCGGCGAGCGAACGGGGAUGAGCCUAAACCAUAUAAGUGUCAAGGAUACAGCCGUUGCUUAUGUGGGGUUGUGGGAAGAACAAUUGAAGAACUGUAAGAUAUUCAACAUUAUUAUGCGCUGAACUGGAAUUAGUUGGAAAGCUAAAUCGUAGAAGGUGAUAAUCCUGUACAGGUAAACCGCAUGAUGUGUAUGUUCUCUCCCAAGUAACAUGGAACACGAGGAAUUCUGUGUGAAUCUGCGAGGACCAUAUCUCGUAAGGCUAAAUACUCUUACUAACCGAUAGCGUAUAGUACCGUGAGGGAAAGGUGAAAAGAACCCCGGGAGGGGAGUGAAAUAGAACCUGAAACUGUGUGCUUACAAGCGGUCAGAGCCCGCAAGGGUGAUGGCGUGCCUUUUGGAGAAUGAUCCUGCGAGUUACGUUCAGUGGCGAGGUUAAGUAUAACGGAGCCGAAGGGAAACCGAGUCUGAAUAGGGCGACAUAGUCGCUGGGCGUAGACGCGAAACCUGGUGAUCUAAGCCUGUCCAGGGUGAAGCUGUGGUAAGACACAGUGGAGGCCCGAACUCACCGCCGUUGAAAAGUUGGGAGAUGAGGUAGGUUUAGGGGUGAAAAGCCAAUCGAACUAGGAGAUAGCUCGUUCUCUCCGAAAUGCAUUUAGGUGCAGCCUUGAGUGUUUAAUUAUGGGGGUAGAGCACUGAAUGAACUAGGGGGCGUAUUGCUUACUGAAUUCAAUCAAACUCCGAAUACCAUAAUUCAAGAGCUCAGGAGUGAGACUAUGGGAAUUAACUUCCAUUGUCAAAAGGGAAACAACCCAGACCACCAGCUAAGGUCCCUAAUUAUAACUAAGUGGGAAAGGAGGUGGAGAUUCAUAAACAACCAGGAGGUUGGCUUAGAAGCAGCCAUACCUUUAAAGAGUGCGUAAUAGCUCACUGGUCGAGAGUCUCUGCGCCGACAAUGUAACGGGGCUAAGUUAUAAACCGAAGCUGUGGAAUUGCGCAAGCAAUUGGUAGGAGAGCGUUCUGUAGGCCGUUGAAGGAGAACUGAUAAGGGACUCUGGAGGUAUCAGAAGUGAGAAUGCAGGAAUAAGUAGCGAGAAGGGAGGCGAGAAUCCUCCCCGCCGGAAGACCAAGGUUUUCAGGGUAAAGCUUGUCUUCCCUGAGUAAGCCGGGACCUAAGCCGAGGCUAAAGUGCGUAGGCGAAUGGAAAACAGAUUAAUAUUUCUGUGCCAGUUAUAUUUUGUGAUGGAGGGACGCAGAAGGGUAUGCACGCAGGAGAACGGAAGUUCCUGUGGAAGCGCGUAGAGUGAUCUAGUAGGCAAAUCCGCUAGAUUAGACUUGAGGCGUAAAGGAAAGGUGCAAAUCCCACGCUGCCGAGAAAAGCUUCUAACGUUAAGGUAUAACUGCCCGUACCCGAAACCGACACAGGUGGUCAGGAUGAGAAAUCUAAGGCGGACAGGCUAACUCUCGUUAAGGAACUCUGCAAAAUUGCCCCGUAACUUAGGGAGAAGGGGUGCCUCUGAAUGUUAGUAAACACGCGUUACAAAGCGUUUGGAGGUCGCAGUGAAGAGGCUCAAGCAACUGUUUAACAAAAACACAGGUCUAUGCUAAGCUGUAAGGCGAUGUAUAUGGGCUGACACCUGCCCAGUGCCGGAAGGUUAAGAGGAGGAGUGAGAGCUCCGAAUUGAAGCCCCGGUGAACGGCGGCCGUAACUAUAACGGUCCUAAGGUAGCGAAAUUCCUUGUCGGGUAAG